rnacentral:rRNA from 1 species
AACGAACGCUGGCGGCAUGCCUAACACAUGCAAGUCGAACGAGACCUUCGGGUCUAGUGGCGCACGGGUGCGUAACGCGUGGGAACCUGCCCUUAGGUUUGGAAUAACUCCCCGAAUGGGGUGCUAAUACCGGAUAAUGUCUUCGGACCAAAGAUUUAUCGCCUUUGGAUGGGCCCGCGUUGGAUUAGCUAGUUGGUAGGGUAAAAGCCUACCAAGGCGACGAUCCAUAGCUGGUUUGAGAGGAUGAUCAGCCACACUGGGACUGAGACACGGCCCAGACUCCUACGGGAGGCAGCAGUGGGUAAUAUUGGACAAUCGGCGAAAGCCUGAUCCAGCAAGGCCGCGUGAGUGAUGAAGGCCUUAGGGUUGUAAAGCUCUUUUACCCGGGAUGAUAAUGACAGUACCGGGAGAAUAAGCGCCGGCUAACUCCGUG